rnacentral:rRNA from 1 species
ACUCCUACGGGAGGCAGCAGUGGGGAAUUUUGGACAAUGGGCGAAAGCCUGAUCCAGCAAUGCCGCGUGCAGGAUGAAGGCCUUCGGGUUGUAAACUGCUUUUGUACGGAACGAAAAAGCUCCUUCUAAUACAGGGGGCCCAUGACGGUACCGUAAGAAUAAGCACCGGCUAACUACGUGCCAGCAGCCGCGGUAAUACGUAGGGUGCGAGCGUUAAUCGGAAUUACUGGGCGUAAAGCGUGCGCAGGCGGUUAUGUAAGACAGAUGUGAAAUCCCCGGGCUCAACCUGGGAACUGCAUUUGUGACUGCAUGGCUAGAGUACGGUAGAGGGGGAUGGAAUUCCGCGUGUAGCAGUGAAAUGCGUAGAUAUGCGGAGGAACACCGAUGGCGAAGGCAAUCCCCUGGACCUGUACUGACGCUCAUGCACGAAAGCGUGGGGAGCAAACAGGAUUAGAUACCCGUGUAGUCCC